rnacentral:rRNA from 1 species
GAUCAUGGCUCAGAUUGAACGCUGGCGGCAUGCCUUACACAUGCAAGUCGAACGGCAGCACGGGGCAACCUGGUGGCGAGUGGCGAACGGGUGAGUAAUGCAUCGGAACGUGCCAUUGAGUGGGGGGUAACGUAGCGAAAGUUACGCUAAUACCGCAUAUUCUGUGAGCAGGAAAGCAGGGGAUCGCAAGACCUUGCGCUCUUUGAGCGGCCGAUGUCAGAUUAGCUAGUUGGUGAGGUAACGGCUUACCAAGGCGACGAUCUGUAGCGGGUCUGAGAGGAUGAUCCGCCACACUGGAACUGAGACACGGUCCAGACUCCUACGGGAGGCAGCAGUGGGGAAUUUUGGACAAUGGGGGCAACCCUGAUCCAGCCAUGCCGCGUGAGUGAAGAAGGCCUUCGGGUUGUAAAGCUCUUUCGGCCGGGAAGAAAUCGCAUGGGUUAAUACCCUGUGUGGAUGACGGUACCGGCAUAAGAAGCACCGGCUAACUACGUG